rnacentral:rRNA from 1 species
UCCCUAUGGGGUGCAGCAGUCGCGAAAACUUUGCAAUAAGCGAAAGCUUGACAGGGCUAUCCCGAGUGCCAUCCGCUGAGGAAGGCUUUUACCCAGUCUAGAACGCUGGGGGAAUAAGGAGAGGGCAAGUCUGGUGUCAGCCGCCGCGGUAAUACCAGCUCUCCGAGUGGUGUGGAUGUUUAUUGGGCCUAAAGCAUCCGUAGCUGGCUAGGUCAGUCCCUUGUUAAAUCCACCGAAUUAAUCGUUGGAUUGCGGGGGAUACUGCUUGGCUAGGGGACGAGAGAGGCAGACGGUAUUUUCGGGGUAGGGGUGAAAUCCUAUAAUCCCGGGAAGACCACCAGUGGCGAAGGCUGUCUGCUAGAACGCGCCCGACGGUGAGGGAUGAAAGCUGGGGGAGCGAACCGGAUUAGAUACCCGGGUAGUCCCAGCUGUAAACGAUGCAGACUAGGUGUUUGAACGGCCACGUGCCGUUCUAGUGCCGCAGGGAAGCUGUUAAGUCUGCCGCCUGGGGAGUACGAUCGCAAGAUUGAAACUUAAAGGAAUUGGCGGGGGAGCACCACAAGGGGUGAAGCUUGCGGUUUAAUUGGAGUCAACGCCGGAAAUCUCACCGGGAGCGACAGCAGUAUGAAGGCCAGAUUAAAGGUCUUGCCAGACGAGCUGAGAGGAAGUGCAUGGCCA